GGAGAACUAUCGAUGGCGCUAUCGAUAACUAUCGAUAUUUUUCACUAUCGAAAACAAUCGAUAGUAUUUGGAGGCUAUCGAUAUUUUGCGAUAGUUCGUUUGGAACACAUUUCUACUUAGAUUGAGGUUAUAAAUGGUUAUAAAUAUGUGUUGUUUGUUCAUAAAGAAAGUUUAAAAUGGAUAACUUUUUAAACAUAAAAAGGAAAAAGGAAGACAGUCCGAGCAGUCGUCGUAGCAGUAAGUAAAAUUUAUAAACAAAACAUAAUGCAUUUCUAAAAGCAUUAAAUCCCCCCGAAGUUAAUUGAAUAUGUUCAAGCUAGGUUGUUCCCAUUUCCCAUAUGAAAAAAGAAGAGUAACUCAAAUGGGCACUUGAUGGAUCCUCGAUUUAAAAAGGAAGGUUUCAGAAGCAAUGAGAAUGCAGAAUGUGCAGCAUAAAUGGAGCAGGAAAUGGUCCAGAUUUUGAAAAAAGAGGAGAAAGCAGACCCCGCAGAAUCCAGAUUUAGAGAUGACAGGCCCGGCUACGAGCAGUACCUACAAGCACUACUACCACCAGCAGCAGUGGAAAUCUAUUAUUUUCUUUUAUUGAAGAAAGAAUUUGCCGGAAAAUUAAAUCAAUAACUGCAGAUGCAUUCAUCAUCAAACGUCAGUAUUUGAGAAACAAAUUGCAACUUAAAAUGAUGAUCCUCUUCUGUUCUGGAAGGUAAAUGGAAGGGAUUUACACCCACUGGAAGAAUGUAG